CCUACGGGUGGCAGCAGUGGGGAAUAUUGGACAAUGGGGGCAACCCUGAUCCAGCCAUGCCGCGUGUGUGAAGAAGGCCCUCGGGUUGUAAAGCACUUUCAGUGAGGAAGAACGCCUGGUGGUUAAUACCCAUCAGGAAAGACAUCACUCACAGAAGAAGCACCGGCUAACUCCGUGCCAGCAGCCGCGGUAAUACGGAGGGUGUGAGCGUUAAUCGGAAUUACUGGGCGUAAAGCGCGCGUAGGUGGCUUGAUAAGCCGGUUGUGAAAGCCCCGGGCUCAACCUGGGAACGGCAUCCGGAACUGUCAAGCUAGAGUGCAGGAGAGGAAGGUAGAAUUCCCGGUGUAGCGGUGAAAUGCGUAGAGAUCGGGAGGAAUACCAGUGGCGAAGGCGGCCUUCUGGACUGACACUGACACUGAGGUGCGAAAGCGUGGGUAGCAAACAGGAUUAGAUACCCGAGUAGUC
rnacentral:rRNA from 1 species